ensembl:lncRNA
AAACAUGAAAUAAGACCACGAAUGUCCACGAUGUAUUUGGAGUUACACUGCUUUAGGAGAAUCCUCAGCCUCUGUUUCUGAAUCAGAUCUCAGAAGAUUUGGAUUCCAGUGUCUGUCUACAUUACCAGGCUGCAGAGUAUGAUGAAAGGCGCUUUGGAUCUGUGAGAGGAGGCCCUUAAAGCUGACAUGGAGGAAUCACCCUGAGUUAGCAUUUAACAACUUUCAAGAGACGGCAUCUGUGGAUCAAACGAACGCAGCGCCUUCAACAGGUGCAAUUUAGGGCUGGAGUCGAUCCUAGCUGACUAAAGGUGAAGGUAGGGUUCAUCUGGACAGUUUCACAGACUGAAACGUGUCCAGAGAUAUGAAGGAAUAUUUACCACCAUCUUGAAUGAAAACAGCUCUGGAAGACUCUCUCUACAUGCCAAAGUUCAGUUUGUUGCUUGCUGGAGGUUUUCUGGUGCUUAGAAAAUAACUGGCAUCUUUUUUCUUCUUCAAGUCUGACUUGCAUUUUCUGUUUUCACAUUUUCUGAGACAUUUCAAAAGUUUGAUUGUAAUUCUUUUGAGAACACGGCUUGUGAGCUGGAUCUCCCUAGACACUUUAAAAUCAAAGCUGCAAAAGCAAAUAAUACCAGAGCAAAAAUUUAACUCUGCAAUCUGAAACAUGCUCAAAAAAAGAAACACAUUUUAUAUUAUACUUUGCUAACUUCGCUGAAAAAAAGAAUCAUAAUAAAGCAAACUGAUGGUGUCAUAAACACAUUUCAGUGUCAGGUGCUUAUGAUUGUUGAGUUAUUUCACAAAAGAAUGAGAAGUUUCUUCCAUGAAAAUGACAAAAACAAACCAAAAAAAAAGCUGCCUCAAUGUGUCAGACAUAUUUUUAUCAAAUUUAAACUGUCAAUCAAAACAGCCAUAUUCAGUUUUUGUCAGCAAUUAUUAAGCAAACAUGAAAUCUGGAUUAAAUAGAAUUUUAAAAAUAACUACUGUACAUUAUGUAUACAUUAAUGGAACAUCUAAUUAUGUCUGAUUAUUUCACAUUUCACAUUAGUAGCUCCAAACCCCGAUACAAAUCUACAAGUCUAUUUUUUUUUUUUUUUUUUUUUAAUUUUCUGGAACAUUUCAAGAGUUAUUGUGAGGAAUAACGACUAGUGCAGGUUGGAGCAUCUUGACUGUUUCAUGGGAACUCAGUAGAGGCAGAAUGAAGAUGAAUUCACAGAAACUGUGACAGGAUAACUGACAAAAUGAUUUAAUAUAUGAAGAAUGGACAAAAACACGUUAUAAGCAGUGAGGAUGCUGUAACUGUUCUGCUUCAUAGACAGAUCUGUGUUGUAACUCAAAUUCACAGAAAUGUGAAUGUGUAGUAAUACUGUAUUUAUUCAUUCUUCAUUCUUGUAUAUAUUGUAUAUAUUAUUGUUAUUAUAAAUAUUAUCUUUACUGUACAUAUGGUUAGUGUUGCUCUGAAAAAUUUUUGCUGCUGUAACACUGGAAAUUUCCCCUGACGUGGGGAGUAAUAAAGGACUAUCUUAUCUUAUCUUAUCUUAUCUUGUCUUAAAUACUGAAACAUGUUGUAAUUAUGAACCAUAAACUGAAUAGAUGACGAAUGAAACUAAAGUACAGAGCAGCAGCUUGUGUGUUUCCUUUGCAUAAAGCUGAUCCAGCUGCAUUCCUCGGUG